ensembl:lncRNA
CUUUAUUUUUUAUACUAGAAAGCAGAUUUUGAAGUAGAGAUACAGACAUCGCUAAGAAAAAUCUUUCUUCAUAUUCGGUACACUGUUCUACAGAAUUAAAGCUAUCGCCAAAGAACAUGACUUUGGCUGCUAAGAUCAUUCAAACACAACAUAGUCUCAACAAAGUCCCAGUGUCACCAAUUCAACUGUCACCUGAUGAUCAUUUGGUCUUUUGUGCGUUUUGAUUUCAACUGUGAAAAACAUUAGAAUACCUUUACAUAUAAUCAACAUUGCAGGUGUAAGAUAAACAAUUCAAAUUCAAACAAUAAGAAAAGUGUUGAAGUUGGAUAGUUUUCUAGGGAUGUUUUCUGACCUUUAGGCUCUUUAAUGUUGCAUCAACAGAUUUCAACAUUCAAUUUUUAUCUUGCAAUAAAGAAUUUUAUUUGCAAGUAAGGUACAGUUUGCAUGUUUUGCAGAAAACAACACAGUAUUAUUAUGUUUGUCUUCCUGUUUAAAAAUGAACAAAAUAGGCAAAGCAGUAAAACCAUGUAUAGAGAAGAGAGAAAGUCAUGCCUUAAAAUAUACAUUGAAUUCUUCACAGCAGUGUGCCUUCAUGUAUGGUCACUGUUGAAAAAAAGGGGGGCUUAAGAAUACUCCAACUUCCUUCACCAUAUUCAGUGUUAAACUGUUUUAAGUCAAGAGAAAUGAUCAUAGAAAUUAAAUUCAAUAUGCAUCUUUUUUUCAUAAAUAAAUCACAUAUUUUAAGACUUAAAAAUACACAACCUAUGUAAAUACCUGAGAGCCCUCAUAUCAGAAAGUUGGUAUCGAUAUCAAAGUUGUUCAAUCAGCACACAUAUAUGGAUAAAUGUUCAUUUUCAGUGCCAAAAUAUACACUGUUUGUAUACUGUUUCUUAAAAAAUACAAUGCACCCGGAACCCUGCCUUUUACAUUUUUUGUAAACAUUUUUAAAUAAAAAAAACACACAAAAUUCACAAAACUAUUUGCAACAUUUCAGCAGAAAAAUAGACAUUUACCACACUGUACAAAAACAUUCCCCCCGAUCUGUAACAAUAGCAAUAAUCGUUCAAGUAAAGUCCUCACUCACUAGGAAAGCUGACAGAAGACCCUUUUUUUUGUUAUGGUUUGUUUUUUUGUUUGUUUGUUUAUAUGGCUGCUUCAGUAAAGGAAAAAGAGUAAGACAAGAAUCUGUCAACAGAUAAGUAAAUAGUUGGAACUGUGAUAUACCUGUACCCCAAAGAAUGUUACUAAAUAUAACCU